rnacentral:rRNA from 1 species
UGGGGAAUUUUGGACAAUGGGGGAAACCCUGAUCCAGCCAUCCCGCGUGUGCGAUGAAGGCCUUCGGGUUGUAAAGCACUUUUGGCAGGAAAGAAACGUCAUGGGUUAAUACCCCGUGAAACUGACGGUACCUGCAUAAUAAGCACCGGCUAACUACGUGCCAGCAGCCGCGGUAAUACGUAGGGUGCAAGCGUUAAUCGGAAUUACUGGGCGUAAAGCGUGCGCAGGCGGUUCGGAAAGAAAGAUGUGAAAUCCCCGAGCUCAACUUUGGAAGUGAAUAUUUAACAACCGGGAUAGAGUGUGUCAGAGGGAGGUGGAAUUCAGGGUGUAGCAGUGAAAGGCGUAGAUAGGCGGAGGAACACCGAUGGCGAAGGCAGCCACCUGGGAUAACACUGACGCUCAUGCACGAAAGCGUGGGGAGCAAACAGG